GACGUAGGGGGCCAGCGUUGCUCGGAAUUACUGGGUGUAAAGGGUUCGUAGGCGGUGUGGCAAGUCGGGAGUGAAAUCUCUGGGCUCAACCCAGAGUCUGCUUCCGAAACUGCUGUGCUUGAGUGUGGGAGAGGCGCGUGGAAUUGCAGGUGUAGCGGUGAAAUGCGUAGAUAUCGGAAGGAACACCUGUGGCGAAAGCGGCUCACUGGACCACAACUGACGCUGAUGCACGAAAGCCAGGGGAGCAAACAGG
rnacentral:rRNA from 1 species